ACGGCCCCGCGGUGAUCAUCCAGUGCGAGGAAGCCAAGACUGCUAGAAGGGCGGCCAUCGCCGUGCAUACGACGGAGAGGCCAGAACUAAUUUCCAUGCUGAGAUGGUGUUGCCAAUUGAACCGAGGUGGCAGGAAAUCCCAGAUUCCAUUUAAGGAGGACCUACUCUGUGACAGGCAUUUGCUGGCAGUGGGAUACAGCAGACAGCAAGACAGACGUGACCCCUGCCACAUGUCAACUUUGCUGGAAUGGAAAUGUCUCCUCCACAAUGAAAAAAAAAAAUCAUCAUUUGGAUGUGAAUAAGAAUGGAAUCUGGUCUCCAGAGCAGAACUCCUGGCCUCUAGCCUCAACUUUAAGGGUCCUUCCUUCCUGAGGCUGGGAACUCUCAGAUGGCCGAGGAGAAACCUCAUCCAUCCUCAGCUCCCUCAGCAAGACAGACGUCCUGCCAUCAUGGAGUCCACGGGGCCCCCCCGCACUGUAUGAACAUCUGCAAAUUCUAUCUUAUUUCAAAUGCACCAAGGGAGGUGGCUAUUUAAAGAAUACUAUAGAAGAUCCUUUGGUAAAGACUGCAAUCACUUUCCGAUUUAUUUUUUUAUGUAAUUUUGGAUUUUCAUUUCUCUGGGGGAGAUAGAGAGGCUGAAGGCAGGUUCAUUUGCUUCCACAGCCUGCUGUUCUGGACCCUGCAUCUGCCUGCAUGGCUCAGCGUGUUGAAAUUUAUCAUC